AUUGAACGCUAGCGGGAUGCUUUACACAUGCAAGUCGAACGAGUGGCGGACGGGUGAGUAAUAUAUCGGAACGUGCCCAGUAGCGGGGAAAACUACUCGAAACAGUGGGUAAUACCGGAUACUAUUGGGGGCGGCGGUAUCGGAUUAGCUAGUUGGUGGGGGAAAGGCUCAACAAGGCAACGAUCCGUAGCUGGUUUGAGAGGACGACCAGCCACACUGGGACUGAGACACGGCCCAGACUCCUACGGGAGGCAGCAGUGGGGAAUUUUGGACAAUGGGGGAAACCCUGAUCCAGCCAUCCCGCGUGUAUGAGAAGGCCUUCGGGUUGUAAAGUACUUUUGGCAGAGAAGCGGUAUCUGCAGAAUAAGCACCGGCUAACUACGUGCCAGCAGCCGCGGUAAUUC
rnacentral:rRNA from 1 species